rnacentral:tRNA from 1 species
UAGCUCAGUUGGUAGAGCAUGGUGUUUGCAACGCCAGGGUUGUGGGUUUGAUUUCCAC